rnacentral:rRNA from 1 species
UGAGGAAUUUUCUGCAAUGGGCGAAAGCCUGACAGAGCAAUAUCGCGUGAAGGAUGAAAGCCUAUGGGUUGUAAACUUCUUUUCUCAAGGAAGAAAUAUUGACGUUACUUGAGGAAUAAGCAUCGGCUAACCCUGUGCCAGCAGCCGCGGUAAUACAGGGGAUGCAAGUGUUAUCCGGAAUUAUUGGGCGUAAAGCGUCUGUAGAUUGAUUUUUAAGUCUUUUGUUAAAUUUUUAGGCUUAACCUAAAAAAUGCAAAAGAAACUAUUUAUCUUUGAGUCUGAUAGAGGUAAAGGGAAUUUUCAGUGGAGCGGUGAAAUGUGUAGAUAUUGGAAAGAACAUCAAAAGCGAAGGCACUUUACUGGGUCUGUACUGACAUUCAGAGACGAAAGCUAGGGGAGCAAACAGG